rnacentral:rRNA from 1 species
CUAGCGUUGUCCGGAAUCAUUGGGCGUAAAGCGCGCGUAGGCGGCCUGUUAAGUCCGGUGUGAAAGUCACAGGCUCAACCUGUGAAUGCCGCUGGAAACUGUCUGGCUAGAGUCCGGAAGGGGCGAGUGGAAUUCCUGGUGUAGCGGUGAAAUGCGCAGAUAUCAGGAGGAACACCAAUGGCGAAGGCAGCUCGCUGGGACGGUACUGACGCUGAGGCGCGAAAGCCAGGGGAGCAAACGGG